GCCAGUUUGGUGCAGUGGUUUGAACAUUGGACUAUAACUCCGGAGACUCUGGAGAUCAGGGCUCAAAUCACCCAACUGAAA